GGCUGGGUAGCUCAGUUGGUUAGAGUAUUGUCCCGAUAUGCCAAGGUUGCGGGUUCAAUCCCUUCCUGGUCA
rnacentral:tRNA from 1 species